rnacentral:rRNA from 1 species
CCUACGGGAGGCUGCAGUGGGGAAUAUUGCGCAAUGGGCGAAAGCCUGACGCAGCGACGCCGCGUGAGGGAUGAAGGUCUUCGGAUCGUAAACCUCUGUCAGCAGGGAAGAACGGUCACUGUGCUAAUCAGCAGUGACUUGACGGUACCUGCAAAGGAAGCACCGGCUAACUCCGUGCCAGCAGCCGCGGUAAUACGGGGGGUGCGAGCGUUAAUCGGAAUUACUGGGCGUAAAGCGCUCGUAGGCGGUAUGUCAAGUCAAGGGUGAAAUCCCCGCGCUCAAGGUGGGAACUGCCUUUGAAACUGGCAAACUGGAGUGUGUGAGAGGAUAGUGGAAUUCCAGGUGUAGGAGUGAAAUCCGUAGAUAUCUGGAGGAACAUCAGUGGCGAAGGCGACUAUCUGGCACAUAACUGACGCUGAGGAGCGAAAGCGUGGGUAGCAAACAGGAUUAGAUACCCUAGUAGUC